rnacentral:rRNA from 1 species
AUACAGAGGGUGCGAGCGUUAGUCGGAAUUACUGGGCGUAAAGCGCGCGUAGGCGGCUUGGUCAGUCGGAUGUGAAAGCCCCGGGCUCAACCUGGGAAUGGCAUUCGAUACUGCCAGGCUAGAGUAUGGGAGAGGGAAGUGGAAUUUCCGGUGUAGCGGUGAAAUGCGUAGAUAUCGGAAGGAACACCAGUGGCGAAGGCGACUUCCUGGCCCAAUACUGACGCUGAGGUGCGAAAGCGUGGGGAGCGAACAGGAUUAGAUACCCUAGUAGUCC